CCCUUCCUCUCUGAAAUAAUAAAAAUAUAUUUUAAAAAAUUUGAGCUUACUAUAGCAACAAAGUCUAACCUAUUCCAGUCCUCUCUUCUCUAUGAGACAAGCAGUUAUAUAGACUUAGACACU